UACGUAGGGUGCGAGCGUUGUCCGGAAUUAUUGGGCGUAAAGAGCUCGUAGGCGGUCUGUCGCGUCGGUCGUGAAAACUUGGGGCUUAACCCUGAGCUUGCGGUCGAUACGGGCAUGACUGGAGUUCGGCAGGGGAGACUGGAAUUCCUGGUGUAGCGGUGAAAUGCGCAGAUAUCAGGAGGAACACCGGUGGCGAAGGCGGGUCUCUGGGCCGAUACUGACGCUGAGGAGCGAAAGCGUGGGGAUCGAACAGG
rnacentral:rRNA from 1 species